GGUCCAAAUUUAAAGUGGAGUAGGUUAGUACGAUCAGUUGACCCUACUAAACUACUUCACUUCAAGUUUGUGCCC
rfam:Haemonchus placei strain MHpl1 genome assembly, scaffold: HPLM_scaffold0000153